rnacentral:rRNA from 1 species
GUGGGGAAUUUUGGACAAUGGGCGCAAGCCUGAUCCAGCAAUGCCGCGUGCAGGAAGAAGGCCUUCGGGUUGUAAACUGCUUUUGUACGGAACGAAACGGUCCUGGUUAAUACCUGGGGCUAAUGACGGUACCGUAAGAAUAAGCACCGGCUAACUACGUGCCAGCAGCCGCGGUAAUACGUAGGGUGCGAGCGUUAAUCGGAAUUACUGGGCGUAAAGCGUGCGCAGGCGGUGAUGUAAGACAGAUGUGAAAUCCCCGGGCUCAACCUGGGAACUGCAUUUGUGACUGCAUCGCUGGAGUGCGGCAGAGGGGGAUGGAAUUCCGCGUGUAGCAGUGAAAUGCGUAGAUAUGCGGAGGAACACCGAUGGCGAAGGCAAUCCCCUGGGCCUGCACUGACGCUCAUGCACGAAAGCGUGGGGAGCAAACAGGAUUAGAUACCCGAGUAGUCC